AAAAAAACAGUGAUGGAAACAAGUAGUUUGAAUUGACGUGUUUUAGGGAGAGUCAGCCAGAGACUGGAAGCUGAUUUACACAGUCACCAAGCGAAAUUCACUUCCUGAGUUUGUUUGUUUUCAAGAAGAAAGCAAACCGGUAAUUGCCGUUAAAUGAAAUGAGUGCAUGACAACAAUUUGUUAUGAAUUAGGAUGGUAACACGAUAGCUCGUUCCUUUG
rfam:Sphingobacterium faecium PCAi_F2.5 genome assembly, contig: Scaffold9